CAGGCAGCAAGAGGAGGGUCGUUGUACGUCAUCGCUGAUGAAGUGACCAGGUCAGAAUACUUCCACACUGUGUGUUACAAGCUGCUGACACAAGUUCCUGAUCUCCAUCUUUGGGCGGCAAGUUGUUUCCAUGGAGACGCACCCGCCGGCUUUCAAGUGGAAUAUUUAACCAGACCCCUCCGCUCUCCACCGGCCGUCGUCAGGGAAGUCAAGAAGGACGAGAUUAUCACUGAACACCGUGAUGUCCUGCCGUACAGUGAGCGAGGUGUGCCCGACCACACAGACGGCCCGCCAGUCAAGAUACUGUCUCACCGAGGUAAAGGUCACUCAGGUGUCUGGCCAGGUGACUGUGUGACGUGCGGUCGUGACGUGGCCAGCUUCCUACACAGUCUCCGUGUUGGUGUUACAGAGAAUGUCACGACAACAGCCACGACCGUCACCUCCACCAACGGCGGCACAACUCCGCCCUGCCUGCAGUGGAGAGACGUGCUGGUGUUGUACUUGAAAGACAUUAGUGACGACUCGGGUAUGAUGAAGGAACUGAAAGAAGCGGGUAUCCCAGUGCGGAUGAUGAAGGACGAUA